rnacentral:rRNA from 1 species
AUUAGCUAGUUGGUAAGGUAAUGGCUUACCAAGGCGACGAUCAGUAGCCGGCCUGAGAGGGUGAACGGCCACACUGGAACUGAGACACGGUCCAGACUCCUACGGGAGGCAGCAGUGGGGAAUAUUGCACAAUGGAGGAAACUCUGAUGCAGCGACGCCGCGUGAGUGAAGAAGGUCUUCGGAUCGUAAAACUCUGUCCUUGGUGAAGAUAAUGACGGUAGCCAAGGAGGAAGCCCCGGCUAACUACGUGCCAGCAGCCGCGGUAAUACGUAGGGGGCGAGCGUUGUCCGGAUUUACUGGGCGUAAAGGGUGAGUAGGCGGUUGUAUAUGUCAGGUGUAAAAGGCUAUGGCUUAACCAUGGUUAGCACUUGAAACUGUACAACUUGAGUGCAGGAGAGGUAAGUGGAAUUCCUAGUGUAGCGGUGAAAUGCGUAGAUAUUAGGAGGAACACCAGUGGCGAAGGCGACUUACUGGACUGUAACUGACGCUGAGUCACGAAAGCGUGGGUAGCAAACAGGAUUAGAUACCCUGGUAGUCCACGCUGUAAACGAUGAGUGCUAGGUGUUGGCCAGCGAUGGUCAGUGCCGCAGUUAACACAAUA